rnacentral:rRNA from 1 species
GAUGAACGCUGGCGGCGUGCCUAACACAUGCAAGUCGAGCGAGAUGUAUAUGGACGAAACUUCGGUCUAGGAAAUAUAUUGACAGCGGCGGACGGGUGAGUAACGCGUAGGCAACCUGCCCUUAACACAGGGAUAGCCUCGGGAAACCGGGGUUAAAACCUGAUAAUGCCAAAUAGUCACAUGGCUGUUUGGCCAAAGAUUUAUCGGUUAAGGAUGGGCCUGCGUCUGAUUAGUUUGUUGGUGGGGUAACGGCCUACCAAGACUACGAUGCGUAGCCGACCUGAGAGGGUGAUCGGCCACAUUGGAACUGAGACACGGUCCAAACUCCUACGGGAGGCAGCAGUGGGGAAUAUUGCACAAUGGGCGAAAGCCUGAUGCAGCAACGCCGCGUGAGCGAUGAAGGCCUUUGGGUCGUAAAGCUCUGUCCUUGGGGAAGAAAAAAAUGACGGUACCCAAGGAGGAAGCCCCGGCUAACUACGUGCCAGCAGCCGCCGCGG